ACGAACGCUGGCGGCGUGCCUAACACAUGCAAGUCGAACGCUUUGAAUGUUUACAUUCGGAGAGUGGCGCACGGGUGAGUAACACGUGGGCAAUCUGCCCGGAAGUCCGGGAUAACAGUCCGAAAGGGCUGCUAAUACCGGAUACUCUCACAUGAUCUCCUGAUUAUGUGAGGAAAGAAUAAUUGCUUCCGGAUGAGCCCGCGUCCCAUUAGCUUGUUGGUGAGGUAACGGCUCACCAAGGCGACGAUGGGUAGCUG
rnacentral:rRNA from 1 species